GUUUUUUCGCUCGUCAUGGAAGUCGGAGAAGCAGCAGCGCGGCGGAUGGUUAUUGGAUCUUGUGGUAAGGCUAUUAUCAAUCCGAUAAUGAUGAGAUUCCGACCGAUUGCGCCCAAGCCUGUCCCCGGAGGCUCUAUUUCCGGUGAUGCAUCGUCGUUGGAGAGUAAGAACUCGUUGAUUUCCAAAGGAAGAACAAAGAGGAAGUACGUUAGGGUUAGGAAAUAUAAUAGGAAGAAGAAAACUACAAGAAACACCACAGCCAGUACCGACUGUAAAACAAACGAGGAGAUCGUCGAUCAUAAUCAGGCCGCCGUGACGACGGCGAUGACGAC
rnacentral:misc_RNA from 1 species